rnacentral:lncRNA from 1 species
AGGUUACGUCAGCGGCGGACAGCAAGGCGGGGAGAGGGGCAGCCCGCUCGCGGCCCUCCCGCCUGGCUCUCCUCGGCCUGCGGCCGGGAUCCUCCGCCCGGGUCGCGCAGCCGAGGCCGAGGGCUGGGGCGGGCGGCUGGGAAGUGGGAAAGGGAGCCAGAGGCGCUCCUUUUGUCUUCUCUUCCCAUCCCCCAGGUUUGGGAAAGUUUUACUUUUGGGAAAGCCCCUCUCUUCAUCCUGCUGGCGGGUGUCGGAUUGGUUAGCGGCCACCGGCCCCCGCCGCCCCCAACAGGAUUCUCCUUUGGGCCACAGGUCUUCCGGAAGUUGCCAAACCCCGGUAGUGGCAGCGUCCGGCUGGGGGCUUUAUUAGGGGGCACCGGGGUCUGCUUUCCGACUCCCUUCCGACUCUGCGCCUGCGCAGGAAGCUUUUUGGGGAGUGUUGUGAAUUCCGAGGGCUCCACACUUAAAAGGUUGUACACUCACCUGUCUACCUGGACUCCAAUUUCCAUAUUUCCAGCCACUUGAGGACUGAGAGGUGGAUGAUAAACCCUGUCAUAGUGGAGCAAGUUCAGGUGUUUAACCGCUGUUACGGGGGAUCUGCCUUUUCUCCCUCUCCUUUCUUACUUCCAUGAGUAUGUAUGUGCAGAGAUUGAAAAAUGACCUUGAGAGAGUCCAUCCAUCUAACUCCAGAAUCUCUCUCUGUCACCCAGGCUGGAGUGCAGUGGCGUGAUUUUGGCUCACUGUAUCCUUCGCCUCCCUGGCUCAAGUGAUUCUCCUGCCUCAGCCUCCCGAGUAGCUUGGAUUACAGAGGUUGUUGGCUUCCAUCAGGGGUGGUCAUUUCCAAUCAGACACCUAAGAACUCCUGCUAGUGGGCAAUGAUGGAGGCACAUUCUAGAUGGAGGCACAUUCUAGAAACGCUUGAAACUGUGUGUUGCUUUGGACAGCUGUUUCAGGAUGUUGGGAACUGACUGUAAGGAAGACAGGAUUGGAGAACCAGGUUUAGAAGAGAAAAGGCAGUACCAGAAGUUUUUGAUUGGAGAAAACUACAGGGCAAUGUUGCACAAGAACCAUUGCUGGACUGCAUCAUUGCUUACCCAACAUGACUCAGCCUCGGUAUUGCCACUGACUCACGGAGCUCCUAAUAGAGGAGAAUUAGUGUCACAGAUUGACUGGAAAACCAAUCCACAUGAAGCCAGGAAGAGAAAUGAAGCUGCUGUUGCUGAAUCCAUAGCUGGCCUUAAUGAUGCUGGCUAGGAAAGACGGCCCAUUCUGGGAGAGAUAAGUGAUGAAACUGUACGUUUUCCAAGGACACAGUGCUAGUAUGAAUGAAUAAUAAUGGGGUUGUCUAUGAAGAGGAGAGAAUGAAAAAGCUCAGCUUACCAAGAUGAAUGCUUCUCUGAUCUUG